rnacentral:misc_RNA from 1 species
UAAAUAAUAAAAAAAAAUAUUAUUAAUUAAUUAAUUAAUGCGAGCACGAAAGGAAGGCUUGAAAGGAAGACUAUAUGGACUAUGCUUUCAAGCUUUAAGUUUAGGGCUACAUGGCUUUCAAAAAGGGUGACACAUUAGAUGCACUGCACUGAUCGGUCCGUACGUCCUUCUUUAGGAGAUUUUUGAGUUGAGCAGCCCUCUUCGAGUAACUUACACGGAUUGCCGCUUAGUCUAUUAGUUAAAGGUGAAAAGGACCGGGAGGACAGAAUCCGAAUCCUAAGCUGCUAAGAUCCCAAGUGACAUAGAUUUAGCUCUUCUCCACCUGUGCGUGCCUUAUCUAUAAUAAGGAAAUACCAGGCUCAAGGCCAAGGGAAAUCUCUUUUUUUUAAGGAAUUGAAUCUAGAGAACCGCUCCGUGGGACCCCUCUCGCGCUAAGAUGCAAGGCAAGGAGCGAAGCUGCUCGCCCUAUCUAAUAUAAAUCUGUGAGAGGAGUGAAUGCAGCUCAAUUGAAAAGGUUCGCAUCGAAACGAAAGGGAAGGCUGAAUGGACGAGAAAUGAAAGAAAGAAGAAGGGCAUUUCAAUCUCAACCAGCAAGAGACGCAUCAGCAGUUGAAAGCAAAGAAAGAGGAAGAGAAGAAGUGGGAAUAUCCGGAAUCAGCAG